ACGCUGGCGGCGCGCCUAACACAUGCAAGUCGAACGGAGCUACGUUUUCAGAAGUUUUCGGAUGGACGAAGAUUUAGCUUAGUGGCGAACGGGUGAGUAACGCGUGGGUAACCUGCCCUUAAGAGGGGGGACAACAGAGGGAAACUUCUGCUAAUACCCCAUAUGAGCGUAGCUGAAAUGCUAUUCUUGAAAACUCCGGUGCUUAAGGAUGAGCCUGCAUCUGAUUAGCUAGUUGGGGGUGUAAUGGACCACCAAGGCGACGAUCAGUAGCUGGUUUGAGAGGAUGAUCAGCCACAAUGGGACUGAGACACGGCCCAUACUCCUACGGGAGGCAGCAGUAGGGAAUUUUGCGCAAUGGGCGAAAGCCUGACGCAGCAACGCCGCGUGAUUGAAGAAGCCCUUCGGGGUGUAAAGAUCUGUCAGUGGGGACGAAACUUGACGGUACCCACAGAGGAAGCAUCGGCUAACUCCGUG
rnacentral:rRNA from 1 species